UACACACCGCCCGUCACACCAUGGAAGUCUGCUACACCAGAAGUAGGUAGUCUAACCGCAAGGGGGGCGCCUACCACGGUGUGGCCGAUGACUGGGGUG
rnacentral:rRNA from 1 species